rnacentral:lncRNA from 1 species
GAGAUGAGAGGAAGACUGCAGCCAGCAGUCAGACCACCAGACCACGUCUGUAGACUGCAUCGGUCACUGUGGCUGUGGGAUUAGGACUGACACCAAACCCCCGUGGUUUCAGCCCGUGUGGUCCUCUCCUGCCCGACCCUUCCGAGCACUGGCCCCAGACCUCCGUGGUCCACGCGUCCGCAGCCCGCAGGCUGUCACGGGAUGAAAUACAUGUCAGCUUCCCUGGCCCUCGGACCUUGGUGUUUCCUUCCGGCUUGACGGUUUGGAGGACACCUCCUGCUGCGGGAGGGCAGAGCGGGAGAUCCAGGAACAACCCAGCAGCCCCAGCCAGGGCUCAGGCCUGCAGAGACCUGCCCGCCCCGCCAGUCCCUGCAGGGGACCCAGGUCUGUGGGACUAGGGGCCAUGCCAGCAGGCCAGCCAUGAGUGGGGUCGCUCUGCCAUCCAGUGUCCUGAUGACGGCUCUGUGACAUGCAGAGUGGCUUCCCUCCUCUCUCACAGGGCCCCUGAUUGUCACCUUGGUAGCUUCUUCCCAAGUGCCCUCAGCUGCAGUCAGCGUUAGAAGAUUGGUUAUGGAUUAUUUUCGUCGACAUUGGUGAGCCAGGAGCCUGGUGGAGAUUGGAAGAGGAGAGAGCAGUGGGAUUUGACCCGCCACCACCUCCUGCAGGGUCCCCUGGGACAGUCCCUGUCCCCCCACUUCCCAUCGCUUCUCUGGGGCAGUGUCCCCAUGGCCCUCUCACCCCCUUUGCAGCCUGGGCGGUAGGUCGCUCGUGACCCUGCAGCCAGCCCUGGAGGCACUGUGUGUGUCUCUGGUUUCCCGGGGUCCUGCCUACCCCUCUCCAAAUGGUGCUCAGAGGCCACUCUCUCCUGGUUUUCUGACUUGGGUGGUCAUCUGUUUCUGUUGGGAGCCUGAUUGAGACACUGCCUCUGCCUGACUCUCGAGGUGGGGGAGGGACUCCAUCGGCCACCCUCUCAGCCCUUCCCCAGGCAGAGGACAAACUGACACCCCCUGACCCCGCCCACGAACUCUUGGGGAGAGUGGACCUGAGCUAGGCCCUGCACAGAGAGUGACACUGCAGAGAAGGAUGUGUAGCCUUCCCCAGCUGGCCUG